rnacentral:misc_RNA from 1 species
CUGAUAGGAGCUGCUUCGACACCUGACAUCCUGAGGUGUAUCCAAAUAGGAUUACUGUGCGUACAAGCAGAUGCAGGAAAAAGACCAACUAUGGCUUCGGUGGUUCUCAUGCUUGAUAGUUGCUCUGUUGCUUUACCAGCAUUGUCAAAACCUGGAUAUUUUGUGUAUAGCGAACAUACGUCAAUUCUGUCUGGUAAUCAAUCCAAAAGCCGCUCUGCCCAACUCUCUGCCAAUCAGUGUUCAAUUUCAGAGUUAGAUCCACGAUAAAAAUAUAGGAGCAUGCCAGUUACUUUAAUCAUUUUUUUCUACUUGUUUUG